rnacentral:rRNA from 1 species
AUUGAACGCUGGCGGAAUGCUUUACACAUGCAAGUCGAACGGCAGCACGGACUUCGGUCUGGUGGCGAGUGGCGAACGGGUGAGUAAUGUAUCGGAACGUGCCCAGUCGUGGGGGAUAACGUAGUGAAAAUUACGCUAAUACCGCAUACGAUCUAGGGAUGAAAGCGGGGGAUCGCAAGACCUCGCGCGGUUGGAGCGGCCGAUAUCCGAUUAGGUAGUUGGUGGGGUAAAGGACCACCAAGCCAACGAUCUGUAGCUGGUCUGAGAGGACGACCAGCCACACUGGAACUGAGACACGGUCCAGACUCCUACGGGAGGCAGCAGUGGGGAAUUUUGGACAAUGGGCGAAAGCCUGAUCCAGCCAUUCCGCGUGCAGGAUGAAGGCCCUCGGGUUGUAAACUGCUUUUGUACAGAACGAAAAGGUUUCUACUAAUACUAGGAGCUCAUGACGGUACUGUAAGAAUAAGCACCGGCUAACUACGUGCCAGCCGCCGCCGUAA